rnacentral:rRNA from 1 species
GACGAACCGUGCGAACGUUGUUCGGAAUCACUGGGCUUAAAGGGCGCGUAGGCGGCCUGCUAAGUCGAACGUGAAAUCCCUGGGCUCAACCCAGGAACUGCGUCCGAUACUGGUUGGCUUGAAUCCGGGAGAGGGAUGUGGAAUUCCAGGUGUAGCGGUGAAAUGCGCAGAUAUCGGGAGGAACACCAAUGGCGAAGGCAGCUCGCUGGGACGGUACUGACGCUGAGACGCGAAAGCGUGGGGAGCAAACAGG